rnacentral:rRNA from 1 species
GAUGAACGCUGGCGGCGUGCCUAAUACAUGCAAGUCGAGCGAACGGACGCGAAGCUUGCUUCUCUGUUGUUUGCGGCGGACGGGUGUGUAACACGUGGAUACCCCACCUCUAAUACUGGGAUAACUUCGGGAAACCGGAGCUAAUCCCGGAUGAUAUUUUGAUCCGCAUGGUUCAAGAGUGAAAGACGGUCUUGCUGUCACUUCUAGACGGAUCCGCGCUGCAUUAGCUAGUUGGUAAGCUAACGGCUUACCAAGGCAACGAUGCAUAGCCGAGGUGAGAGGGUGAACGGCCACACUGGAACUGAGACGCGGUCCAGACUCCUACGGGAGGCAGCAGUAGGGAAUCUUCCGCACUGGGCGAAAGACUGACGGAGCAGCGCCGCGUGAGUGAUGAAGGGCUUCGGAUCGGAAAACUCUGUUAUUAGGGAAGAACAUAUGUGUAAGUAACUGUGCACAUCUUGACGGUACCUAAUCAGAAAGCCACGGCUAACUACGUG